CUUGCCCUACGGGGGGCAGCAGUGGGGGAUAUUGGACAAUGGGGGAAACCCUGAUCCAGCGACGCCGCGUGAGUGAAGAAGUAUUUCGGUAUGUAAAGCUCUGUCAGCAGGGAAGAAAGAAAUGACGGUACCUGACCAAGAAGCCCCGGCUAACUACGUGCCAGCAGCCGCGGUAAUACGUAGGGGGCAAGCGUUAUCCGGAAUUACUGGGUGUAAAGGGAGCGUAGACGGUGAUGCAAGUCUGGAGUGAAAGGCGGGGGCCCAACCCCCGGGACUGCUCUUGGAACUGCGCGGCUGGAGGGCAG
rnacentral:rRNA from 1 species